rnacentral:rRNA from 1 species
AGCUCCAGUAGCGUAUAUUAAAGUUGUUGCAGUUAAAAAGCUCGUAGUUGGAUUUCUGGCUGACCGCGUAUGGUCCGGUGUCCUCAGGAUGCUGUGCACCGUCGCGCGUCUGCCAUCCUUCCAGAAAGUAGUGCCUACCGGCUAGUCCGGAAGGGCGCCUCGAUCUGGAUCAUUUACUUUGAAAAAAUUAGAGUGUUCCAAGCAGGCUUAUGCUUUGAAUACAAUAGCAUGGAAUAAUAAUAUAGGACUUCCGUUCUAUUUUGUUGGUUUCUAGGACUGAAGUAAUGAUUGAUAGGGAUAGUUGGGGGUGCUAGUAUUCAGCGGCCAGAGGUGAAAUUCUCGGAUUCGCUGAAGACUAACUACUGCGAAAGCAUUCACCAAGGAUGUCUUCUUUAAUCAA